AUACAACUUUACUGAUUCCUGGGGGUAAAUCCACAGUGAUUAAAAUGAGCUCCACCUUUACCUUUAAUGCACUUUUGGUACUUUAAGUAUAUUUUGAUGCUGAUACUUUUGUGCUUUUACACAAGUUACAUUUUGAAUGCAGUACUUCUACACUGUGGUAUUAAUACUUUUACUGAAGUAGAAACCUCUGCCUGCUGAGGAGUCUGUGCAAGGAAGGACAAAAUAUUCACAAAUAAGAGUUUAAAGAGUUCAAAAGCAAACCAAUUUAACCAAGUGAAUCCACUUCUCUGUUUGCAAACUUGGAUUUAAUUGUUUUCUAGUAUUUUUUUAAAGCUGCACUAAUCAAUGUUUUCAUAUAAACAACGGAUCAAAUGGAUGUGUGUAAUAAAGGAGUUCGAACCCACAGAUAAUUAUUACCCAGCUCUGCAGCAGGUUUUACCGCCCGCACACGUACUGUUGUACACAAGCUCUGUCAGAGAGCAGCUGCUGAACACAGCGGAGCGUUUAGCAGCCGAAGAGCCAGAUGUUUCCCUCAGCAGCUGCUGGAGACGUCCAUCAGGAGACACACAACUCGCCUCCUGAUGAAGCGUCACGUCGCUGCCGGAGGUGGAGACAAGCUGCUGUUUGCUGACAGGUUCAACAUGUCAACUUAAAAGGUUUACAGAUGGUGACAGACGACCACACGCUCUGAUAUUAUCUGUGAGCAUCAUUUCACAAGCUCAAAACCUUUUUGACCCUCACUGGAGCCCAUACACCGAGGGCGUGCGUGCUGGACAUCUGCAGUGUGCAUCAGGCCACAGGAAGCUCAGUUAUGUAGCUCGAAGCCUCCUGCAGUCUUUCUAGGAAUCCUCCCUUUAGCUGUUCUGGAGUCAGCUCUGCGAGGGCCGGCACGUCCAGGAGCUGCAGUUCUCUGAUCUUUUACUUGAGUGAAAAAACUCUCUGCUACAAGUAAAAGUCCUGCAAAUCUUACUUAAGUAAAAAUACACAAGUAUUACCAGCAAAUUGUACUCAAAGUAUCAAAAGUAAAAGUGCUCAUUAUGCAAAUUGGCUCCAUUCAAAGCGCUACAUUUAUUUAUUAUCUUAUUAUUCAUUAGAUGAUUCAUUAACGUCAAAGCAGCAUCUGCAUGUUGUCAAGGUGGAGCUCAUUUUAACAACUGCACGUUUCACCUGUAACAAUGUAUGUUUUAUAAAAGUGUAAAGUAGCAUAAAAUGGAAAUACUCAAGUAAAGUAAAGUACCACAAAACUGCACUUAAGUAAACUUGUAUUUGUGGAAAAUCAUGGAUUCAGAUGAUAAGAUAUUUAAUCUAUCAAUAAACUGUGUAUGCAUAUAUACCCGGUACUCAUCCGGAGGAUUUCCUGUCUUCUCCUUUGAAUUAAAAAAUAACUGAAAGUUUUCUUUUUGCUCUGCUUUUAAAUUAGUGAAAGGUCACUGAGGCCAGCUUUCAACGUCUCACACACACACACACACACACA